UCAUUACACCAGCGGAAGCAAAUUAGGCCCGAGUACGAACAAAUUACAAUUAUUGCCUAAGAGGCUGAAACCGAAAGGAGAGCCCCCCACAAGUUCAUAGAACCCUGCUCUGGAAUCUUCUGGCUAAGCGUCGAAGCUGUCGUCGUCGAACUCCACGAAGUAACCACUCACUUGUUCCUCCGGAAACUCUGGAGAAAACAACGUUGCAAAGCAACUGAGUACAAAGUACUCGCAAGACUUACGGGAGAUCUAAACUAGAUAUGCAACAAGUCUCAAAGGAUGGAUAAUAUGGUGGGGUUAUGCAGCAGCAGAAAUAUCUGAAGAGACACACUAAUGACAUCGUCUAAGUAGAGGAUGAGAAGCGUCUACUAAGUGAGGUGAUCCUCUAACAACUAACACCAAACAAACACAACCUCUUAUCACCCCCACAACCCCUUGUGAGGAAAUGAUCCACAUGCACUCACACUUAAGCAGUUUUAAGCAUAUCCAUGGUUAAGGCUAAUUACUACUCAUGUUUAGGAGAUUAAGUUAAUUAAUUGGUAUGAGUUCUCUAUGAUCAAAUAAUGACCAACCAAGUCGUCCAUGACCCCGGACACAGCUUUCCGAAAGAUUUAUCCCUGCAGGGUGUGCCAAUUUACCCGUACACGUCCGUCCAACCCUUGACGCCACUAGCAUGGAACACACGCAAAAGCAUGUGCCGGCAAGAUUGAGCGACAUGACGUCUCCAAGCCCCACAACUAAUCCAGGGAACCACCCGACUGAGUCUAAUCCGAAACGAGAGCCCGGCCGAAGCGUCAUACGGACUCAAGAGUUGCGUGGACAGCUGGUAGUGGUUCGGUGUCCGCAAAAUGACCACUCCAGACUAGUGCCGCAAUCUUAUAUGUAUGCAAAGUACCAACAAACCUCCAAACACAACACCAGUGUAUAUGCGAUAUGCCAAAUGGAACGCCCGAACUAUGUGGCCCCUGGAAGAGCUAUGAAACGAGUAUUAAGCCGAGGGGGAACCCAUAUAUUCUCCCACGAGCGGUUAGUGCGAAGUUUCUUGGGUCGACGAAAACGAGAACUCAGUCCUUAGGUCGGCGCCAAUGGAACAAAACACCAAUGCGUUAGCACGGCCUCCCAUCGUUGCCUUGUGCAGGUAAUAGCAGGUCACAGUUUAAUAAUUGCACUUAAAUACAGAUAGUAGCAUGUGGAUGUAGCAAUUGUAUAACCCCAAGUAAGGACACUAUACUAGCAAUCUAAGCAAACUUCUAAUGACCAACUAGGGCAAUAACAAACAUGUGACAUGGUAAUAGGAUAAGGAACAAGACAACAGGCAUUUGAGUAGAGCUGACUAAAACUAUGCAAUUCUAGAGGCAUCGUGACAAGAACCGAGAACGUAACUUAAUGCAAGAAUGAGAGAGAGGCAUUGGGUAUAAUCAACAAGUUCAAGGAAUGGCUACUUGCCUGGAUUCUCGGUCGCUGGGCACCGAGAGAGGGGAUGCGAAGAAGUGUGGGAACCCGGAUCGUCAGCGGAGUAAGUCGGAGUCGCUAUCGUAAAGAACGAAAUCACACAAUACGCAAAUAAGUAACCAUUCACAGGUGCCAUGCACAAUACAACAUGAGAUGGCAUGUGACAACACGAUGCAACAAUAUGCAAGUGAAAUGAUUCCAUUUAGCAACAAAGUCAACAAUUAGGUGAUUAGAACAUGGUAAACAGUACCUUUAAAAUACACAAAGGGCCUAACCAAGUAUUCUACUGUGUUCUACAAGUUACAGUGAUCAACUUUGAUGUUUACAACAAUUACAGAAGAGUUACCAAUUUUAAAUUAGAGACUAAACAAGUUCAUACUUUUGAAUUUCAAAUCUGGGACAGAUUUGAAAUUUGAAACCUCAAAAUGUAAUUCUAAUUAUACAGUUAAAUUCCUUGCAUUUUUCUGAUUCCAAAACAUAUAUGGUUUGCUCAAAUUGGAUAUAGCAUGCAUUUACUAGGAAUUAAACAAGAUUUGAAACAUUUCUGGAAUUUAAAAACAAAUGAAAACACACGGAGAACUAAAACUACGCGGGCGCAGCUAGCCAGUGCGGCUGAUAGCGGGCCCGGAAGGGCUGACUAGGCGAGGCGCGCUAAGUUGGCUGCUACGUGGUCAAUACAUUUGAAUGUAUUGGCAAGUUCACCUGGAAGUUAUAACAGAUCCUAUCAAGUAUAUGCAAUUGAGGUAUAGUGGGAUUUUGGCUUUAUGGCGUGGAAGCAAAACAUAGUUUGUCUUACUAGAAUUGAAUGUUACAAUAUUGUUAACUAAUGGACACGGGGUAGAAACACCCAUGCUCUUAUUAACCUAGAGCACAUUGAGUAGAAGCAUCAAGUGCCCCUACCCUGUUCAAACCAUUCAUUUUAUUUAAGAAGUUGGAAUGAGUGAGACUUUUCUUACAGUCCUAAUAUCUAGUUGCUCAUAAUUGUCCGUAACCGGGGACACGGCAAAGUACUUAGUUUGACACUCUCGAGAGGUUGUACACAAUCACCACAAGAAUUCGACGUGUUAAUCCCUUGCUGUCCUCCCAGGGGAGUAGCAAUGGCAUCGACUUCAAGAAUUUUCAGAACAUGUUUACCCAGACCACCUGAGGGACCCGCGCUCCCACCUACACAACUACCUCAGUACAAGCCCUCGGAUCUGGGUUCACAUUUCUUACUCCAUCCAGCCAGAGCCCAUUUAGCUUGUGGUUGUACUAGAAGCUACUAAACAGGAAACUAGUCCAGUCUCUGAUACCCCAGGUGGCAUUCCACAUUUGCGACGCAAGCGCUCCCUGAAUCCACGGAAGAGACGUCCAUGGACGAUCCAUCUCCGAAUCCACGGAGACUCGACUCAGAGGGACACAUAGAAAUGGACCUGACGUCGCAUAACAUCUCAAAAUCUCAAAGCAGUCCACCCAGGAUGGUUCAUUAGGGUUGUUUUGCCAAGUUUCCAAAAUCACUCCACAUCAUCAUUUCACAUUUGAUUGAGAUUCUCUCCCUCAUAUACUAACAUAGCAGGGCUAGCAAUUCUAAUCACGAUGGCUAUUGGUGGAGGAUUAAUGGCAAAGGUAACCCUAUAGCUAGUAGGUCAAUCAUAACUAGCAUAAGUACGAGUAAUAGUCCCAUCAAUGCAUUUCUACAAACAACUCUAAUGCAUAAGUAUUUUAAGAACAAACGGUAAUAGGAUACGAUCAAAGUGAACUUGCCUUGGUAGUAGUUGGAGUUCAAACACUCGUCACAAUCGCAAGGUUCGCUCUCCGAAAAUACUAUACAAUCAAACAAACAUACACACACAUAAACACACAAUUCAAACAUGACAAAAGAAUGUAUGCUAUGAUGCGAUGCAAACAUGUGACAUGAUUGGGUUUAUUUUAUUCGGGUCAUCUACUGAUCUUAAGCAUAAGUAAUUAAAACAAGUGCAUUAGGGUUUUAAAUAAAGGCAAAGGCUAGGGUUCAAACCCUAAAAUGAGGUUUUAUUGGAAUCAGCCAAAUAUUUAACUCAAAAUAUUUAUUUCUCUGUCCCAAUGGACAGAGGAUAAUAAAACAAAUUUUUGGGCACUGGUUUCAUUCAAAAAGGACUUCUAAAUAAAUAGUUAUGAUUUAAAUGGUAUUAAACCCUAUUCUGUAAUUUGAAUGUGAUUCAAAAUUUCAAAUUUCAAAUUGGACAGUGCCAAAAGAUUCUAAAUUUCCUAAGGAUUCCAAAAAGGUGUGGAUCAUUAAAUUUGGCCAAACAGAUUAAAAGAUAAGAUCAUUUGCAGUUACAGGGGCUUUUCUGCAAAAGUGCCAUUUAAUUAUUCCGGGGGAUUAAAAUUAGAUUUUUAUUUUAUAAAUCGGGUGCCACAUGGCGUUUUCUUAUUUGUCGGUACCGGUUCGGUUAAGUGAAUAAAAAUAGAUCUAAUCUACACCGUUGAUCUCGAUUGGACGGACGAGGGGAGGUCGGGAUCACCUAGGGUUCCGGCGAGCUUCUCCGGCGGCGGCGCGGCACGGGCGGCGGCGGCGCGGGGUGCUCCGGCGACGCGGGUGGCUCGGGGAUGGCCGGGGAUGGCGCGGUGCGGCACGGCGGAGAUGGGGGCGCGGUCGGCGCGGGGUCGGGCGGUAGGGGUCCUCGCCUAGGUCGAAGACGAGGCGGCGGCGCGGGCGGCGAACUCCAGCGAGCUUCGGGCGCGACGGGGGCGGUGCUGCGGUGCAUCGAAAAAGAAACGGGGGGCGUCAGUGGAUGCGCGAGAGAGAGAGGAAGACGAAGGAGCAAACGGCGACGAAGAUGGCUCAUCGAGCUCGUCAGCGUGACGCGAAGACGGCGACGGCGCGGGUGCGGCUCCGGCGAAGAAUUCCGGCGGCGUGGGCACGUGCGAGCGGGGGCGAGAAGAGGGAAAAAGAAGAGGGGCGCUCGGGCUUUAAACGGACGCGAGCGGCGAAGAUUGGGAAGGUCGGAAUCUCCGGAUUCCGGAGAUUGCAGCGGCGGGCAGUCCGGCGCGGACUCAGCGCCGGCUUUCUUAACGGGGAAGAAGGCCCUGACGCGUGGGUCCCACGCGUCAGCGGCAGCGGGCGUGCGCGCGCGGACUGGUCCGGUUCGGGCGCGGUCGGGCGGGCGGUUCGGCCGGUUCGCGGCUUAGCGGGCCGGCCCAGUGGGUCGGUCCGUUCUAUUUUUUUUUAGGCUUUUUUUUUCUGUUUUGUUAUUUCUUUGAUAACUUUUGAUUUUGAACUCCAAAUUGGUCCAAAUAAAUUCCAGAAAAUUUGUAAAAUCAUGUUUUACCAUGAUUCAACUUUUGGGAGUAGUUUCCCCUCAAAAUAAAAUAUAUAAAAAUACAUUUUCCCUAUAAAUGCCUUUAGGGCUAUAUAUCUAUUUAAAUAAAAUACUUUUUCAAGUCCAAAUAAUUAUCCAAAAAUUAUGGGAUAGCUUAUAUAUGCAAUAAACCACUUUUUAUACAUAAACCCUAUUGGUUUGAAAAUCCAAAGCUUAAAUGGGUGUAAACCCUAGGGUUCAAAUUGAAAUAGAGUCGUUUCAAAGCCUUUUGAGAUUCAAAUUUGAAUUCAAAUAUGCAAUAUGCUCAUGGAUGCAAUGCACAUGUAAAAGUUUGAAAUUUUAGGAUGUUACAUAAACGGAAGCGGCGCGCAAAGUUAUUCUAAGUGGCACAAAGACCACCACAUCAUCCUUAAGGAGAACGACGGCGUGGCGCGACGAGUAAGCUCGCCGGCGGCAACCGGGGCGCGUGCGCACAGCUACGAAGCUAUGGAGCACUAAAACGAGCGCGGAAAGGAGUGGGAGAGAGAGGAGCUCACCCUGAAUCCUCCGGAGGAAGCUGACGAGGAUUUGGUGGACGGGCUCGUCUGAAUUUGUCGGAGAAGAGGCGGCGGUCGGAGUUUGGGAAGACGAGCUAGGCGUCGACGUAGACGAUCCCAGCCAAAUUCCUUGCACGUGGACGAAGAGGAAGAAGCGGCGGAGCUCGUGACGCGGUCGGGGCGUCGUGGUUCGGCCGGAGGAGGCGGCGUGAUGCAGGGGCGUCCACGGCCCGAAAGAAGCGGCGGCGGCGGCGCAAGAAACGAGGAAGAGGAAACCCUAGCUAGGGUUUGCCUGGCGCUGGGAAAGGGAGGAGGCACGACGCAGCUUAAGUAGGGGCCCGGAGCUCUCCCUGUCGCUGUCGAGGGCGGACGUGGCGCGCGGGCUCCAUCGGCCAGGAGGAAGAAAGCAAAGGUGGAAGAAAGCCUGUGAGACAAGGCAUAUUUCCGGAGAAUGCGCUUUCGCUGUGGGGAAGCGGAACGCGGACGCUGCGCGAGGUUGCGGGGCCGAGCUAGGCUGCGGCGCGGCGGGAGAAGAUGGGCCGAGCUGGGCUGCGCGCGAAAUUGGGCCGAGGUAAGCAGGUAAGGUUCUUUUUCUUUUUCCUUUUCCUUUUCUGUUUCUCUCUCUUUGCAAAUAACUUUGGAUUCAAAAUUCACCAAUUUGAAAAGCUGAGGAAUAGGAGAGUUCAAAUAUAGUGCUAGUAUUUGAAAAUGUUCAAAUGGAUUUACAGAUUGAAAAAUCCAUUUGACUCUCUUUAAUAAAUUAUGGAAAAUUCAUAUUUGAAUCAUCUAGCAAAUUCAAACAACAAGAAUUCAAACCACAAGUUGAGAUGCAAAUUUAAAACUCAUGUGACACAAACAAAUAGACAUGGCAUGGCAUGGAUGCAAAUGUAAAAUGUUAUGCAACAAGAAAUAAAUUACAAACAGGUCCACACAAAGGGCUUAAUGUAAAUGUUGCUCUUGGGAUGUUACAUCCGCGCCGCGUCCUGAUGUGCGCACGACCGCACCGCUCCCUCGCUACACCAAGCCAAGGCCGCGCCCACACGGGACGCACCCACGCCCUUGCCGGAUCGCGACGCCCCGAGAGCAUUCGGCAAAAUGCCCGCAAGGGUUGCCAACCCAAAAACGCAUCAAGGACAGAGUCACAAAGCUUCCACCCACCUUGACACGAGCAAGAAGGGCAUGGACGAAGACGAGGAUCUCCCGGGAGGACUUGUAGGCACGAUCGACACCUCGCCCCGGGCGGCCUCAAACGUGCUCCGCGCCCCCACGACGACUCGAUGAUGGAGAGCUUCCGCGGCGGUUCUUCAGCGACCAACGCGACCUCCGUCGUCGCUAAGGAGUAGCUAAUGCCCCUGCGAAGCUCCCUACUACACCAAGCUCUCGAAGGAAUGCCGGGUGCCGCCGAACGCGUCUUCAACACCGGGCAAACCAAACAAGUGUGGUGUGAAGCUCCACAGUGCCCAAGGUCUCCAUUUUAUAGGCCAUCGGAGCCCCUAGGCGUCCGGGCCGGGCCAAUGGUGCGGCGACACCUCGCCGUCCUUCUCACCAAGGAACAAGACAAAGGGGAGGGAAGAAAUGGGAAGGGGAAGCGCCCCCUUUUCCCUAAAGGAGGUUGGCCUGGCCGAAGGAGGGCGCCCCGCGCUCGGGUCCUGCGUCCUCGCCGCGCCGGCGUCACCCCCGGUGACGAGCUCUGACUGCAAAAGGCGAAAGAGAAGGACCGUUCGGUCCCCUCCCGUACGAAGGUAGACGACGGCCCAGGGCCGUCCGAUCUAGGGCACACCCCUGCCUGUGGCCGUCAGAUCUUCAACUUAAAUCCCGAACCGGUAUCAAGGCCAACUGGGCCCCGGCCCAGUAAAAGCCCAAAGAAGCCGGCCUAAAAAAACUAAGGAAAGCCUCCCAGAGGAGGCCCAACUAGCGGCCCAGCUCGCGUCCGCGCGCGCACCAGGCCAGCCCGGAUGGCCCGUGCAGCUGGCUGAGUUCGAGGAAAUUUGCAAAAAGGCCCAAGACUUCGGAAGAAUUACCAAUAAGACCUCAGAAAUUUUGGGGAGGCCCGCGGGGCCCCUGAUUUUUGCAAAAAAGUCCUUCGGACACCGGAUUUCUCGCAGAGAGGCCCCUGGGGUCCCUUUUUUUUGCUAAAAUACCCCCCGAAACUCAAUUUCUCGCAGAGAAAAUCGCCGUAGGCAUGAAAUUUUCUCGAAACGCCUCUAAGGCUCAUGUUCUUUGCAGGAAAACCACCAAGUACCUCUGUUUCUCACAAGGAAACUCACUAGGGAAUCCAUCAAAGACACCAUCAUGAAUCCAAGAACGAGAAAAAGGAUCAAAAGUCUCGCAUCGAAGGUUGACCCGAAGGCAUUCUCAAUGCCUCCAGCUCAAGGGGGCUACUGUUGUAGUAAACUAAAACCCUUAUAUGGGCCGGGCCGUAAAUCCUAUGUGGCGACGACUAAGUCAACAUUUCCCAAGCAUGAGUCAAAACGCCCACGUGGCGCGGUGAAUCGUACGUGGCAAAGGAAGACAAGUCAACAAGUCAAGCCUCUCAUGCCAUGGUCAAAGGAUCAAAUGAACUAGAGUAGGGGGUAAGAAAGGUGUGAGGAGGGGGCCCUUAGUCCAUGGUGGACCAUGGACCAAACCCCACUUUUCUCACAUGGUGCACACAAAAGUUAUGAACCAAGGAGCUACUUUUACCAUUUUGCCCCCACUUUUCUCUCUCCCCAAGGAUAGCCAUGGUCUUUGUCAUGAACCCCUAGGCUAUAAAUACCCCCCAUGGAGGCAUGUACCACUCACUCUCACUUGAAUAAACUCAAGGGGAGAGGGUUAGAGUGCUCCCUCUAAGGUUCGCUCUCGCGCGCCGCUCUCGACUGAAAGUCGAUCGGCCUCGAGGAAGCCUUCUAGGGGACUCUAGUUUUGAGGCUCCGAGCUAAUCUUGGUUGGCACAGGCUCGAAGGAGAAGGGGUUGGGUUAGAGUUCCGAGAGUAUCCUAACCUCGAUACUUGGAAAGACGCAUUCUGUCCAAGUACGAGGCGGCCCCGACGAAUCUCUCGCUAAAAGGUGUCUUGGGAAGAUCCGCUCGGCCCAAGCCCUUGGCUAACAACCCCCUCGAAGCCUUUCCCAACAUAGGAUUAAGUCGCACCCGCAGGGUCGGCCGAACCUAUUCAAAAAAUAUCGACGUGUCAACUUGUCCAAGUAUACGGCGACCUUCGCUAUAAGGCCGGCGUACACGGCCUACUUUUAUACCCGCACUUGUGCCAUCGAGUAUUGACACCCCUUACUCUAAUUGGUGUCAAGAACGACAACACAACCAGAUGAUAUCCCGCGCGUUGCUGCGGAAUUAGUAUGUCAAACACUUAAGAAUGAUGAGAACUCUUAAAGAAUACAUAAAUGAUAAGAAAGGAAAAGUAAUUUGACCACUCCAUCAGAAUGUUUGUAAGCUCUCGCGAACCACAAUUGCAAAUGUGUAGUGAGAAAGAAGCUUGGAUGCCAAUUACACAAAUAAAUUAAGGAUACGUCCUUAAGUAACCGUCACACUUUUUGACAAUCCUAGAUUGUUGUUUUGCAAAUUACAAAAACAAAAUCAGAGCUGAGUAGGAAGCAUUUCAAGUCGAUGAAACAACUAUUGUAUUAUGUCAUUCAUGUGUCGUAAUGUUCCAAAAGAUUUUUUUUCAACAAAAUAGUUAUUUUCAACAAAAAAGUUCUGAUACAAUAAGAAUAUUAUUGGCUAUGCUAACUAUAUGAGCAAUGAAGCGCAUCAUUUUAUUAUUUCAUUAUCCACUAGUUGACAUCUAGAAUUUAGGGAGAGUCAUAUGUUCAUAUGGGAUCAACAACUCCAUUUGUUACGAAGCAUCUCACAUACAUGGUUCAUGGACCAUGCUGUAUAACCUUGAAAGGAACAUAACUUCUUGGCCAUGCAAGCACGCUCACAACGCAACUUGUAGAAACCCUCCCUAACUUUAAACGUAUAUAUAAACCAUGGCAUCAAUUUAACUAAACAUGAUUCCCGGAGUUCCCAACUUUUUAUAUAUUAUACAAAAUAGAAGUAGACCCAAAGAAAAUAAUUUACUUCUCUUGGAAUAACACUUGUACAACAAAAGAGAAAGGCAAAAUCUAAAUUAAACUUUAUGGGAUAACUAAUACCAUACAUACAAAUCAGUUUAUUAUGAAUAAUUUUUUUGCAUAUUGGUAUUGCUCCAGACCUUAGGAUAUAAUUUUAUCUACAACAAACAGCCAGGACCCUCUAAAUGUUUUACAGGACUUUUUGGUAGUUGUACAUAAGAAUACACCAUUUUUGGCAGACCGUUCGAGCACUUCUGAAAAUCUAACCAUAGUUUAGCAUGAAUAAAACUAUGGGCAUAAGACAUAUGGUAGUGUGUUUGGUACAUUUAUGACUGAAACAUGUUGCUGGCUGUAUGCAUCAGACUUGAGAAAAUAAUGCCAGCUUAAAAUAGUAGUUCUUAAGUUAGACCACUGGGGUGCUUCAAUGUUCAUCGAACAACUUGUCUACAGACUUUAGAAAAUAAAUGUGCACAAAGAACAGGUAAAGAAAUAACAAAAGUAUAGAUGUAAGCUUUUCUCAACAAAAUUAGUGGCAUGGAUCUGAAUGAACUGCGGCAGCAUAGAUAUAUUAUUAGUGUUUGUUAGAAAGCUGCGAUGAAAAGAUGGUCCGUGUUUUGUGGUAAUCAACCUGAAUACUGUCAUUUCUGAUUUCAGUAAAUGGAGACAUGGAUGGUUGUUGGAUUCAAUAAAAUCACUUAUGCCAAAUUAGCAACCUGGGAAAAAUGGCAACAUGUUUACACAGGAGAUAACUGAAUGCAUGUUGUAAAUCCAGCAACUGCACUUCUAAUCUGCAUCUAGCGUAGCUGGAUCUGUGCAAUUUUAUCCUCUGUUACUCGAUCAACUACUCAGCAGAGACAUGAAAAAUAAUUGACAGAUGUAGAAAAUAGUUUGGCGAUGAAGCAGUAAUACAAUAGUGGAAGAUUGAGAUUAGGGAAAAAUCUGGCCAACCUUGGUAUUGCGAGGUAACUGAAGUGGGCCGACAACGAUGGCUGCAGAUUCUUCCCGUCCAGCACGCGUAGUAGCAGCAGACCAUGAGAAGACGUUGGCAAGGGCCCCAAAUUCAUCCUGGCCAACGCGCUAUCCUUCUGAGAGCGAAACCUGCUGAAUCGUUAUCUUCUUCGAGCCACCCUGUUUUUUCAUGCCAUCAAUCCCCACCAUCCUCACCUCCCUCCUCGUUGCAGGAUUUAAAUGGUUUGAUUUGAAGAUGAAUGGUAAAUUAUCAGCCAUUACUUCAACCAAAACUUGAUGAAGACAAUAGUGUAUCGUGGUAAAUUAUCAGCCACUUGUCCAUUCAAAAUUGGGCACAAUAGCUUAAGUGACAAUUCACUGCCUUACCUUUUUUCUUCUCCAUCAAUAAUAGCCAGCAGAUUAGAGGCCAAACAAAAUGAUGAAACUCCAGCCCUCCAUGUACCAUAGUCAUAUAUAUCCUUCGCUCUUUGCAUACAGAAAGAAAUCAAAUAGCAUAAUAUCUGAAGGUAUAUAGCGUUUAGUGUGAGUAUUGUCACUUUUAACCGUAGUGUCUCCUUCCAUCUCUGUUAGACUGUUACUCUCUGUUACCUGUAUAUUUAUGUUGCCCUACAAUAUUUAUGAGAAAGUAUGGAACAUCAUAGGCCAACUUAAAUUAUAUUCAACAAACAAUGCAUAUGCUCAUCCAAUGCAAUCAGAUGGUACAUCAGUAACAACAGCAAAAGUAACAACAGAAAUUAUAGGUCAGAACCUUCUGUACCGUUGCAAGAAGGUUGUGCUGGAAAAUUUGACGCAUGCAAAAUCGAAUCGAAUCCUGGACCCUGUGUACCGAUACAACCUCCUCCUCCUAAUUCCAGUGGGCAACGCUGAGAACCAACGCAAACCCUGGGCCGACAAAACAUCAAACAGGUUGUAGGCAGAAGUCAAUAUCAGAUAUUUAGAAACAUCAGAUUGAAAUAUAUGAACUUGGGGACUUAAAGAAAAAAAAAGGACCAAAGAGCAGGAGAGGUCACCUACCUGAGCGAAGGCCGGUCGAGUGAGAGCGCGACUCGAGCAGGUAGUAUAGACAGGGGUCCGCAGGUUAGGGUCGCGCCGCGAGGGCGUGCAUACGCCCCAUCACCUUCUUGGGCUUGGGAGGGCGGGGAGUGGGGCCUGGUUGGGCGACGGCAGGGAGGCAGGAGGGUCCGGGUCAGGCGGCGGCAGGGACUCGGGUGCAGCGGACGAAGGCAGGAGGUGAGAGAGGCGGGGGGCGGCGUGGCAUCAGUGGAUGGCGGAGGCGGGCUGGUCCUUCUCUCUCCUUUUUAUGGUCGCAAGUGCAGGGAAGGAGAGGAAGCGGAGAGGGUGCCGUCGGGAUUGAAGCAUAGGAAGGAGAAGGGGAAUAGCUGUACUCAAAUGCGCCCAGGAAGUUGA
rnacentral:lncRNA from 1 species